rnacentral:tRNA from 1 species
GGUUGGGUUCCCGAGUGGCCAAAGGGGGCAGACUGUAAAUCUGUUGCGAUAGCUUCGAAGGUCCGAAUCCUUCCCCAACCAC